UGCAUUCACUACUGUAAGUCGCUCUGGAUAAGAGUGUCUGCUAAAUGACUAGAA
rfam:Salmo salar isolate Sally breed double haploid chromosome ssa09, whole genome shotgun sequence.